rnacentral:tRNA from 2 species
AUCACGGUGACUUAAGGGUAGAGUACCCCGCUAGAGACGUGGGUGGUACGAGUUCGAAUCCCGUCUGUGAUC